AUCCCUCCGGUGGCAGGGUAAUGCCAUCACCUCCCUGUUGGACUAUGCCCCGGCCUUCGAGCCGGGGCUUUUUU
rnacentral:ncRNA from 1 species